GGAAAGAGGCGGAGCUCUCCGGCGAUCCUGCGCUUGGCUGGCUAGAGUGAAGAUAGUCCAAGUCCUAAGAGACAGCGCCUCUCUCAUUCAGUCUUUGAUUAUACAUCAGCAUCACCAGCUCCCUCACCACCAAUGCGACCAUGGGAGAUGACAUCAAAUAGGCAGCCCCCUUCAGUUCGACCAAAUCAGCAUCACUUCUCAGGGGAACGAUGUAACACACCUGCACGCAACAGGAGAAGUCCUCCUGUUAGGCGUCAGCGAGGAAGAAGGGAACGUCUGUCUCGACAUAAUUCCAUUAGUCAAGAUGAAAACUAUCACCAUCUCCCUUAUGCACAACAGCAAGCAAUAGAGGAACCUCGAGCCUUCCACCCUCCGAAUGUAUCUCCCCGUCUGUUACAUCCAGCUGCUCAUCCACCCCAGCAGAAUGCAGUCAUGGUUGACAUACAUGACCAGCUCCAUCAAGGAACAGUUCCUGUCUCCUACACUGUAACCACAGUGGCGCCCCAUGGGAUUCCUCUCUGCACAGGCCAGCACAUCCCUGCUUGCAGUACACAACAGGUCCCAGGAUGCUCUGUUGUUUUCAGUGGACAGCACCUCCCUGUCUGUAGUGUGCCUCCUCCAAUGCUUCAGGCAUGUUCAGUUCAGCACUUGCCAGUACCAUAUGCUGCGUUCCCACCCCUCAUUUCUAGUGAUCCGUUUCUUCUACAUCCUCCUCAUCUUUCUCCCCAUCAUCCUCCUCACUUGCCACCACCAGGCCAGUUUGUCCCUUUCCAAACACAGCAG
rnacentral:lncRNA from 1 species